rnacentral:rRNA from 1 species
UACGAAGGGGGCUAGCGUUGUUCGGAAUUACUGGGCGUAAAGCGCACGUAGGCGGACUACUAAGUCAGGGGUGAAAUCCCAGGGCUCAACCCCGGAACUGCCUUUGAUACUGAUAGUCUCGAGUCCGGAAGAGGUGAGUGGAAUUCCGAGUGUAGAGGUGAAAUUCGUAGAUAUUCGGAGGAACACCUGUGGCGAAGGCGGCUCACUGGUCCGGUACUGACGCUGAGGUGCGAAAGCGUGGGGAGCAAACAGG